UGCACUCGUAUCAUACUGGUACUCUGUACCUUCGGUUAUCUGAGGCACUUUCUUGUGGGAUGUGAUCCUGAGUUGUUGUCCGGCAGUUACCAGAAUCGAAGGUAGAUGGCUAGGCAGAUAUAUAUCGCGUAAUACUUGAGACACGACACCGGAAUACGACAAGCUGAGGAUCAGUUAAACCUGUAUCACUGCUCAAGUACAGAGAAUCAUCAUCAGCUUCAUGCAUGAUAUUGGACACAAGAGAAACGACAGUCAACACUGAAUUCCUGAUCGGAAGGGCCCCAAGGGCGCUUUCUGGCAGCAUGUGGUCCAGGGUUGUGAGGCUUGCAUCUGAAGCAAAGAUGAGGCGGUAUGCCGAAUAAACUACCUCGGACUUUGACUAGCCUGGUUUCUGCUUUCGCUGUAUCACAGUUGUCCCUCUUGGACUGGUGUUUAACUGAUGAUUUACAUUUUGAGAAAUGCAGGUUAAAAAUGCGGAACAUGGGAAUGGUGACCAAAUGAAUAAAGUGUAGCUGAAUGAUGUCAAGCUGUGAUCUACGUAGCCAUCUAUCAGCAUUGUUGGUAAAUGCCAGACCAUCCAGAACACCACACUUCCAGGAAGUGCUUCAUGUGACCUCAGUGUUAGGGAUUCAGUAAAGUGGAAUAUUACUUUUCCACUAAAUUCCUGAUAUGGAGGUCAGAUGUGAUUAUUCCUAGCAGGAUAUGGCCUUUUUUGUCCGAUGAAUAUCCAGAACCACAGGAAGGCUAAUACGCCCCGAUAUUCAACACUGAAUCACUGAUCUGGAGGUCACAUGAGAAAUUCCUGUAAUGAUGUUGUUCUUGGUUGUCAGAUAUGUGAAUAUGUGCAAACUGCAAUACUGAUCUGGAGGUUACAAAAGACUUUAGCUGGAAGGAUUUCAUCCUAUUGUGUCCAGCAUUUAUUAUAAUAACAGUAAUUCAUUUUGGUCAUUGCUUCUAACAACUGCCUCUGUAUUAUGAAAUAUUUCAAAAUUAAAAUAUUCUAUACAUGUGUUAAACACACAUGUGAACGUAGAUUAUUGAACAAUGUAAACAGAAAUAUUGAACAUAUUCUUGGAUUUUCAUGUAUUAUGAACGAGAAUGACCAAACAGACCUAAUGAAUGGUAGCAAAUUUGUCAUGACAAUAUGUAAAACACUGUAAAUCUUACCUGGCUUUCAC